rnacentral:rRNA from 1 species
GACGAACGCUGGCGGCGUGCUUAACACAUGCAAGUCGAACGGAAAGGCCCUGCUUUUGUGGGGUGCUCGAGUGGCGAACGGGUGAGUAACACGUGAGUAACCUGCCCUUGAAUUUGGGAUAACUUCAGGAAACUGGGGCUAAUACCGGAUAGGAGCUCCUGCUGCAUGGUGGGGGUUGGAAAGUUUCGGCGGAUGGGGAUGGACUCGCGGCUUAUCAGCUUGUUGGUGGGGUAGUGGCUUACCAAGGCUUUGACGGGUAGCCGGCCUGAGAGGGUGACCGGCCACAUUGGGACUGAGGUACGGCCCAGACUCCUACGGGAGGCAGCAGUGGGGAAUAUUGCACAAUGGGCGGAAGCCUGAUGCAGCAACGCCGCGUGCGGGAUGACGGCCUUCGGGUUGUAAACCGCUUUCGCCUGUGACGAAGCGUGAGUGACGGUAAUGGGUAAAGAAGCACCGGCUAACUACGUG